CGCGCAGGCGGGUUUGUCAGUCAGGGGUGAAAUCCUACAGCUUAACUGUAGAACUGCCUUUGAUACUGCAAACCUUGAGUUCGGAAGAGAGAGGCGGAAUUCCAGGUGUAGUGGUGUAAUACGUAGAUAUCUGGAAGAACACCAGAGGCGAAGGCGGUCUCUUGGUCCGUAACUGACGCUGAGGCGCGAAAGCGUGGGGAGCAAACA
rnacentral:rRNA from 1 species